AACGAACGCUGGCGGCAUGCCUAACACAUGCAAGUCGAACGAGGCCUUCGGGUCUAGUGGCGCACGGGUGCGUAACGCGUGGGAACCUGCCCUUAGGUUCGGAAUAACUCCCCGAAAGGGGUGCUAAUACCGGAUAAUGUCUUCGGACCAAAGAUUUAUCGCCUUUGGAUGGGCCCGCGUUGGAUUAGCUAGUUGGUAGGGUAAAAGCCUACCAAGGCGACGAUCCAUAGCUGGUCUGAGAGGAUGAUCAGCCACACUGGGACUGAGACACGGCCCAGACUCCUACGGGAGGCAGCAGUGGAGAAUAUUGGACAAUGGGCGAAAGCCUGAUCCAGCAAUGCCGCGUGAGUGAUGAAGGCCUUAGGGUUGUAAAGCUCUUUUACCCGGGAUGAUAAUGACAGUACCGGGAGAAUAAGCUCCGGCUAACUCCGUG
rnacentral:rRNA from 1 species